CCAGGCCCCCACCCAGGGCACAGGCUCAGGCUGAGUGGGGUGGUGGAUGGGCUGGAGCCGGGGAGAAGGGCAGCAAGGCUGGCUGGCCGCAGCCCUCCGUGGCUGGACACGACUUGGCAAGGCCGAGGGAUCUGAGGGCUGGGCUACUCUCGAGGGCUGCCAGGUUCCCAGCUUGCUGCAGGGAAAUGAAGGGGGUGCCGCCCUGAACAGGCACAUGCCUAAGCAAGGUAUUGACGCUUGGAUAAAGCUGGCAACCGCCAGGAGAAGCCUUUUUGGGAUUUUUCGAAUCCUUCGUCAUCCGAGCUGUGAUGAUGGAGUGGAGCGUGGCACGGGCCCAUUGGAGUUCUGUGGGCUCCAUUGGCACUCAGCACGGAUUUGGACAUGCAGGCUGGUGGGCCCUGCAGGAAGCCUGCUCCCUGCUCUGCUGCGUGGGAGGGGGCAGCUCGGGGGAAGGGGGCUUGCAGAGAAACAGAAGAACAUGGGCUGUGGGGCACCUUCAGCAGCCCAGGGUUCCAAUCCCAGCUCCUCCAUGUGGGAGCCAAGCGCCCCAGGCAGCCUUCCCAGCCUUGCUUAGGGCCGGGUUGGGAGAAUCCCACCCCGCAGGGCUGUGGUGAGGGUUGAACGGAGGGUGUGUGGUGAGGGUUGAGUGGAGGGUGUGUGAUGCGUGGUGAGGGUUGAGUGGAGGGUGUGUGAUGCGUGGUGAGGGUUGAACGGAGGGUGUGUGAUGCGUGGUGAGGGUUGAACGGAGGGUGUGUGAUGCGUGGUGAGGGUUGAACGGAGGGUGUGUGAUGCGUGGUGAGGGUUGAACGGAGGGUGUGUGAUGUGCCCAGUGGUGCACGACAAAUUGCCUUCUUUGGGUUGACAGACUGGGUUUUACUCUUCCUGAAUCAUCACAAUGAUCCGUGCAAGGCCAAGGCUGUUGUCUUCUGUUUCAAGUGCGUUUUCCUGUCCUGUCCUCUGUCCUGUGGCAGUGGACAGCUGUGGCUCUUGCCAGAUUGUGUCUGCUCCUAGGACUGUGUGAGCUGGUGGUGGUAGCGGCCUUGAGCUUGACCCAUCCCUCCCGCUUCCCUGUUCCUGAGCGAGCACCUUGGAGUAUCCUUGGAGUGUCCUUGGAGGCUCUGCUCUCGGGGGCAGCCUGGGCCAAGAGAGCGCCUGAUGCUCACCCUGUCCUCACAGGUUCACGCCUACAUAAUCAGCUCCCUCAAGAAGGAGAUGCCCAAUGUCUUUGGUAAAGAGAGCAAAAAGAAAGAGCUGGUGAACAACCUGGGAGAGAUCUACCAGAAGAUUGAGCGCGAGCACCAGAUCUCCCCUGGGGACUUCCCGAGCCUCCGCAAGAUGCAGGAACUCCUGCAGACCCAGGACUUCAGCAAGUUCCAGGCGCUGAAGCCCAAGCUGCUGGACACGGUGGAUGACAUGCUGGCCAACGACAUCGCGCGGCUGAUGGUGAUGGUGCGGCAGGAGGAGUCCCUGAUGCCUUCCCAGGUGGUCAAGGGCGGCGCCUUUGACGGCACCAUGAACGGGCCGUUCGGGCACGGCUACGGCGAGGGGGCCGGUGAGGGCAUUGACGACGUGGAGUGGGUGGUGGGCAAGGACAAGCCCACCUACGACGAGAUCUUCUACACGCUGUCCCCUGUCAACGGCAAGAUCACGGGCGCCAACGCCAAGAAGGAGAUGGUGAAGUCCAAGCUCCCCAACACCGUGCUAGGGAAGAUCUGGAAGCUGGCCGAUGUGGACAAGGACGGGCUGCUGGACGACGAGGAGUUCGCGCUGGCCAACCACCUCAUCAAGGUCAAGCUGGAGGGCCACGAGCUGCCCGCCGACCUGCCCCCGCACCUGGUGCCGCCCUCCAAGCGCAGACAUGAGUGAUGGUGCCCGGCCCCGCACCUGCCAUUUGCACGCCCGGCCGGGAGGCAGAGACGGGGGGAGGGGAAGGCUCACCAUUUCUCAAGGUCCAUAAAGACUGAGCGGAUGUUUCCUCACCUCUCGAAAAGGAAAACCACCAUCUUUCUUUUAAGGCUGUUCCUGGGCCUGGCGGGGGAGGCAGGGGUGAGAGGAUGGAAUUGUGUGCACAAGAACUGUGGCUAUUUUAAUAUAUAACGUUAGAGGCUGCGUUCUUUGUCGCCGCCUCCCCUGUGUGCCAGCCCUGUGUGCACGGCCUCUGCCCCCCGGCCUUUGCUGUGGCUGGAGCUGGACAGUGCAGCGACUGCGACCGUGGGGGAGCCAGGUCGCCCUUUUGGCAGCUGCUAGGCUGGGGCUGCAUGGACAGGAACACCAGGCACCCUCCGUGUGCUUCUGAGCUGAGGUUGCUUCACGGGACCGUGCCUUCCUUCCUCACCCGGCUCUGCCUCCUCCGUGCUCUCGGGCAAAGUGGGUUCUUGUGCCUUCCCCUCCCGGGCCCAGGCUCCCCGUGCGCGGGCCCUGCCCUUUCCUCCCGCGCCCCACCGGCUCCGACGCGCCACCCCGCUCAGCAGUCACAGAAGCAGGGCCCAGCCACCUUGGUCUUUUUUUGGGAGUUCAGGGGAGUAGGAGAAUGUCUUCCAGAAAAAUACAUAAGCUAGUUUCUGUUCUGUAAAGUGAUAUCUUUCAUACUUGACCAAAGUUCCCAAUAACUUCCCAACCACUGUUCAAAAGCUGUGAUUUUUGUCUCCCCUUCCCACCCUCCAGCCAAGGAGCAGCCCUGCCCAGGGGGCAUUAGGUGUGGGUACCCGGGGAGCACCCCGUUCCUGGACCCCAGUGUUGCGUUUCCUGGCUGAGGAAGGGUGGUCAUCCCAGCUCCUGCCCUACCCUCUCACUUAACUGGAGCUUUGGGACGCGCCCUCCACAGUGGGAGGUGGGUGGUGGGUGGCGGUGGCGGGGCCUCACGACAGCUUGGUGCUGGUAAGAGGAAGCCCGUGGUUCUGGCUAGGCUCUCAUGUCCAGACAGCGGGGACCAGGGGAAAACCCAGCCCCUUCUCCUGUAAUCCCCCUUCAUUUCCUACCUUCCUUCCUCCUCUGUUUAGCAAAGGAGGGCAGCUCACUUGGAUGCCCUUACAAUGCCCCUGGCCCCAGGUUGAGCAAUAAGAAACCAGAGCCUUGCGGCCCAGUGGCCCGGGCCAGUUCAGGCCGCCUCCCCCUCCUCUGCCUGGGGCCAUUGAGCCCAGCCUCCAGGGCCCGGGCGCGUUUGCAGGCCAGUGGCCACUGUCCGGGCUGUGAUGGCACCAAGGCAGGUGGAGCACCAGGUACCACACAGCUGGGCUUCCCACCAGGCUUUCCCGCGAGGGUCUCAGGGAGCUUCUCCCCAGCGCUGCUCGGAGUCUGCAGGAACUGGCCUUGUUCUCCUUAGCCCGUCACUCCAUACAGUAUUAGGUGAGGAUGGAUGCGGGCGCUGUCCUUGCCGGGAAGUCACUGUUGAAGUUGCAGUGGCUUGUUCACACCUGUGGGAAGAGAAGUGAAGACUUUCUCCUUGCAUUAAAAAGUCUGAACUGUGCGAAA
rnacentral:sRNA from 1 species